rnacentral:rRNA from 1 species
GAUGAACGCUGGCGGCGUGCCUAAUACAUGCCAGUCGAGCGAACAGACGAGGAGCUUGCUCCUCUGACGUUAGCGGCGGACGGGUGAGUAACACGUGGAUAACCUACCUAUAAGACUGGGAUAACUUCGGGAAACCGGAGCUAAUACCGGAUAAUAUAUUGAACCGCAUGGUUCAAUAGUGAAAGACGGUUUUGCAGUCACUUAUAGAUGGAUCCGCGCCGCAUUAGCUAGUUGGUAAGGUAACGGCUUACCAAGGCGACGAUGCGUAGCCGACCUGAGAGGGUGAUCGGCCACACUGGAACUGAGACACGGUCCAGACUCCUACGGGAGGCAGCAGUAGGGAAUCUUCCGCAAUGGGCGAAAGCCUGACGGAGCAACGCCGCGUGAGUGAUGAAGGUCUUCGGAUCGUAAAACUCUGUUAUUAGGGAAGAACAAAUGUGUAAGUAACUAUGCACGUCUUGACGGUACCUAAUCAGAAAGCCACGGCUAACUACGUG